UGCCCUUUUGGGACAUCCGAUAAACAUUGAAACGAUAGAGAAGAUCAACAUGGCUCCUGCAAAAGGUUGACACGUAAAUUGUCCUUGUGGUCACAACUCUUU